rnacentral:piRNA from 1 species
UAGGACAUCAGACACACACAAUCCUGA